UACGAAGGGGGCUAGCGUUGCUCGGAAUCACUGGCGUAAAGGGCGCGUAGGCGGCCAUUCAAGUCAGAGGUGAAAGCCCAAGGCUCAACCUUGGAAUUGCCUUUGAUACUGUUUGGCUUGAGACCGGAAGAGGUUAGUGGAACUGCGAGUGUAGAGGUGAAAUUCGUAGAUAUUCGCAAGAACACCAGUGGCGAAGGCGGCUAACUGGUCCGGUUCUGACGCUGAGGCGACGAAAGCGGUGGGGAGCAAACAGG
rnacentral:rRNA from 1 species